AGCUUUUUGUAUUCAAGCUGAGAUUUCAUCAGUAAUCGGUUCACUUAAACUGAUGCAACUGCUCGAAUAAGUGAAGCA
rnacentral:pre_miRNA from 1 species